CCUACGGGAGGCAGCAGUGGGGAAUAUUGGGCAAUGGGCGCAAGCCUGACCCAGCAACGCCGCGUGAAGGAAGAAGGCUUUCGGGUUGUAAACUUCUUUUCUCAGGGACGAAGCAAGUGACGGUACUUGAGGAAUAAGCUACGGCUAACUACGCGCCAGCAGCCGCGGUAAUACGUAGGGGGCAAGCGUUAACCGGAUUUACUGGGUGUAAAGGGCGUGUAGGCGGGACUGCAAGUCAGAUGUGAAAACCACGGGCUCAACCUGUGGCCUGCAUUUGAAACUGUAGUUCUUGAGUACUGGAGAGGCAGGCGGAAUUCCUAGUGUAGCGGUGAAAUGCGUAGAUAUUAGGAGGAACACCAGUGGCGAAGGCGGUCUGCUGGACAGCAACUGACGCUGAGGCGCGAAAGCGUGGGGAGCAAACAGGAUUAGAUACCCUAGUAGUC
rnacentral:rRNA from 1 species